ACACAGCAAGUAUGUGUUUGAGGUCACAUUUGAACUUGGGUCUUCCUGACUCCAGGUCCAGCACACUGCACUAUCUAGUUCCCAUUUACAUAAUGCUGCUUUGUAAGAAAGGAAUGACUUUGGCUCUAGCAACAUGGACUUUGUAGGAGAAACUCCUGUCUUCUGAAUGAUAAGGUGCUGCUGUCAGCCACUGAUACUCUGGGGAUGUUGCAAAUAUUGCUAGGUGGACACUUCUACCCUCAUUGAUGAGAUCUCUAAGUCUUCCAACCUUUCAUAAUUUAUAAAGUUGCACCUGGUCAACGAGAGGAGGGAAAUGCAUUCCUCCUGCCCCUCCUUACCUCCCUAGCCUAGGAUGAUUCCUUCCCAGGAAUCUUUCACCAUUGGAUUCUACCACACCUCAACUGACUGGCUCUGACCUAGCUUGUUGUUUUUAUACAUAGCUUUAUGGGGCAUGACUGAUUCUCUUUAACCAAUCCUAAGCUAUUUCCUGUGUGGUGUCCAAGGACAGAAUGCGCCCAUGGUCCUUUAUAUUAAAGAUAUUAUA